CCUACGGGUGGCAGCAGUAGGGAAUAUUGGUCAAUGGGCGAAAGCCUGAACCAGCCAUGCCGCGUGCAGGAUGACGGCCUUCUGGGUUGUAAACUGCUUUUAUACAGGAAGAAAACGGUCAUGCGUGACAGAUUGACGGUACUGUAUGAAUAAGCACCGGCUAACUCCGUGCCAGCAGCCGCGGUAAUACGGAGGGUGCAAGCGUUGUCCGGAUUUAUUGGGUUUAAAGGGUGCGUAGGCGGGUUAUUAAGUCAGUGGUGAAAGUUUGCGGCUCAACCGUAAAAGUGCCAUUGAUACUGGUAGUCUUGAGUACAGUAGAGGUAGGCGGAAUUUAUGGUGUAGCGGUGAAAUGCAUAGAUACCAUAAAGAACACCGAUAGCGAAGGCAGCUUACUAUACUGUAACUGACGCUGAGGCACGAAAGCGUGGGGAGCGAACAGG
rnacentral:rRNA from 1 species